ACCUGAGCUUCCAUUUCACGGUCAGACAGGCCACCGCAGAUCUGGAUAAUACGGUCAGACAGCGUCGAUUUACCGUGGUCAAUGUGAGCAAUGAUCGAAAAGUUACGUAUGUUCUUCAUAGAGAUAAAUUAUUAUGCCUUACGCCUGGUUGACCAGACUUUAGAGGUCGCUGUUCUGAGCUUAACGUCUGUUUUAACUGAAACGCCGCAUUCUACACUACAACGCUAAGGCGAGGAAAUGUUCAUAAUGUAAGGAGAGCGGGAACUGGCAAGCGUCUCACUUUUUACGUAAGUCACUGUAACGCCGAAAAAGCCCCUGAUAGCGCAAGCUUAUCGGCCCGACAUCUCCUGCAUGGCAGGAAAAAAUGACCUUAGCAGACCAGCUAAACGCAGCGCUAUCCGGCACAGCGUCUACUGGCGCGUUUCGAUUGAUGUGGUUUCGACGCGAACAAGCUCGGACGGGAGGGCAACGCUUAAAAUCACCGGUUGCCAGGUAUCGCGCUCCGCCAGUUUCCGGGAAUAGCCUCGGGCAAGCAAAAAACCGCCAACGCCACCUAAAACAGCGCCGCUUAAUGCCGCAAGGUCAGAUCCAAACAAUACCUGGAAAAGCACUGCAAAGAGAAAUAACCCCGCUAAAGGCGACAUAUAGACCAACAAUGCCGACCCUAAGAGGCUUUUUUCGGCGAUGCCAAGCUCAACUUUCUGCCCCGGCGACAGCGGCUCCACGCUUGGCACCACAAUUGUAUGAGUCGUUUGCGGCCCUAAUUUAUUCAGCACGCGGCUGCCGCAUCCCGCCCGGGAGGCGCAGUUGCUGCACGAUGUUUUAACAUCACAACUCACGACCGCCUGGCCAUUCCGCCAGGAGACGACCGUCGCCCACUCUUUAAUCAUUGUACUGCCCUGAACUUGAUACUGUCUGCAAUACGC
rnacentral:ncRNA from 19 species